rnacentral:rRNA from 1 species
CAGUAGCCACGGUAAUACGGAGGGUGCGAGCGUUAAUCGGAAUUACUGGGCGUAAAGCGUACGCAGGCGGUUUGUUAAGUCAGAUGUGAAAUCCCCGAGCUUAACUCGGGAACUGCAUUUGAAACUGGCAGGCUAGAGUCUCGUAGAGGGGGGUAGAAUUCCGCGUGUAGCAGUGAAAUGCGUAGAUAUGCGGAGGAACACCGAUGGCGAAGGCAGCCCCCUGGGCCAAUACUGACGCUCAUGCACGAAAGCGUGGGGAGCAAACAGGAUUAGAUACCCGCGUAGUCCCUGUCUCUUAUAC